ACUUAAAAGGAAUGAAAUAAAAGUUAAAAAUAGAAAAGUAGAAAAAUAGAAAGAAAAUGAAGUCAUUUAUUUGAUCUUUUUCUUUGUUUAUUUCUUUGUUUAUUUGUU
rnacentral:ribozyme from 15 species